rnacentral:rRNA from 1 species
CGAACGGCAGCACGGGUGCUUGCACCUGGUGGCGAGUGGCGAACGGGUGAGUAAUACAUCGGAACAUGUCCUGUAGUGGGGGAUAGCCCGGCGAAAGCCGGAUUAAUACCGCAUACGAUCUACGGAUGAAAGCGGGGGACCUUCGGGCCUCGCGCUAUAGGGUUGGCCGAUGGCUGAUUAGCUAGUUGGUGGGGUAAAGGCCUACCAAGGCGACGAUCAGUAGCUGGUCUGAGAGGACGACCAGCCACACUGGGACUGAGACACGGCCCAGACUCCUACGGGAGGCAGCAGUGGGGAAUUUUGGACAAUGGGCGAAAGCCUGAUCCAGCAAUGCCGCGUGUGUGAAGAAGGCCUUCGGGUUGUAAAGCACUUUUGUCCGGAAAGAAAUCCUUGGUUCUAAUAUAGCCGGGGGAUGACGGUACCGGAAGAAUAAGCACCGGCUAACUACGUGCCAGCAGCCGCGGUAAUACGUAGGGUGCGAGCGUUAAUCGGAAUUACUGGGCGUAAAGCGUGCGCAGGCGGUUUGCUAAGACCGAUGUGAAAUCCCCGGGCUCAACCUGGGAACUGCAUUGGUGACUGGCAGGCUAGAGUAUGGCAGAGGGGGGUAGAAUUCCACGUGUAGCAGUGAAAUGCGUAGAGAUGUGGAGGAAUA